rnacentral:rRNA from 1 species
UAUCUCUGUAGAGUCUGCAUAUCAAUAAGCGGAGGAAAAGAAACUAACUAAGGAUUCCCUCAGUAACGGCGAGUGAAGCGGGAAGAGCUCAAAUUUGAAAUCUUCAAGGUUCUACCUUGACGAAUUGUAGUUUAAAGAAGUGUUUUCUGUUGGUGUUUUGGUAAAAGUUCUUUGGAAUAGGACAUCAUAGAGGGUGAGAAUCCCGUAUUUGACCAUUACUUCCAGCGUUGUGAUAGCACUUUCAAAGAGUCGGAUUGUUUGGGAAUGCAGUCCAAAAUGGGUGGUAAAUUUCAUCUAAAGCUAAAUAUUGGCGAGAGACCGAUAGCGAACAAGUACCGUGAGGGAAAGAUGAAAAGAACUUUGAAAAGAGAGUUAAACAGUACGUGAAAUUGUCAAAAGGGAAGCGUUUGACACCAGUGUUGUUUUCUCGAAAAUCAAUUAAAAAAGGCAGGAUUUUGUGUUGUAUUGACUUUAUCAGCUUUCUGCACUCUUUUCUUGUCUUUUUUAAUGCACUUUUCGUUUAACAAGUCAACAUCAAUUUCUUUUGUUGUAAAAGAGUCAUUGGAAGGUGGCUUUCACUUCGGUGAAAGUGUUUAUAGCCUUUGGCCUCUGCAAUCGGAGAGAUUGAGGUCUGCAGCGUAGAUCCUUCGGGGUUAGAUACAUUUGUGCUAAGUUAUAGCCUUUCAUAGACAACUUGUUGACUAUGAUCAGUCAUGUAGCUUACUCGCUUAUGCUAUUUUACCUACGCUUAGGAUGUUGACGAUCAGCUGAGCGC